rnacentral:rRNA from 1 species
CAUGCUUAACACAUGCAAGUCGAACGGAAAACGAUGGAAGCUUGCUUCCUGGCGUCGAGUGGCGGACGGGUGAGUAAUGCAUAGGAAUCUGCCUAUUAGUGGGGGGAUAACUAUCUGAAAGGGUAGCUAAUACCGCAUAAUCUCUUAGGAGGAAAGCAGGGGAUCUUCGGACUUUGUGCUGAUAGAUGAGCCUAUGUCGGAUUAGCUUGUUGGUGAGGUAAUGGCUUACCAAGGCGACGAUCCGUAGCUGGUUUGAGAGGAUGACCAGCCACAUCGGGACUGAGACACGGCCCGAACUCCUACGGGAGGCAGCAGUGGGGAAUAUUGGACAAUGGGGGCAACCCUGAUCCAGCAAUGCCGCGUGUGUGAAGAAGGCCUUAGGGUUGUAAAGCACUUUCAGACGCGAGGAAACGGGUGUAGCUAAUAACUGCACCAAUUGACGUUAACGUCAGAAGAAGCACCGGCUAACUCCGUGCCAGCAGCCGCGGUAAUACGGAGGGUGCGAGCGUUAAUCGGAAUUACUGGGCGUAAAGCGCGCGUAGGCGGAUUAAUAAGUCAGAUGUGAAAGCCCUGGGCUCAACCUAGGAACUGCAUUUGAAACUGUUAAUCUUGAGUAUGGUAGAGGUAAAUGGAAUUUCCAGUGUAGCAGUGAAAUGCGUAGAGAUUGGAAGGAAUAUCGAUUGCGAAGGCAGUUUACUGGGCCAAUACUGACGCUGAGGUGCGAAAGCGUGGGUAGCGAACGGG